CACUCCAGUGGCCUAAGCUGUUACAGCAUCUGCCUAUGAUGCGGAAGCUCGUAGGUUCGAACCCUGGCUGAGUCA